UGAACCCGGGUCUUCGGCGUGACGAGCCAACGCUUUAACCACUAGGCUACCCCACCGCCCCUUAACAAACUGAACCCUCAAUGCCCCUAGAAACACUUAUGAUCAUGUUUCUUUCUAUAAACAAAUCAAACUUCAAAUUUGUCAAGACACCAAAAUCAUAUGUAUCUAUUUUUAUUACCUUUUAGACAAACUAGAAGACUUAUGAUUGGUUAAUAAAUAAUAUCGUACUCAAAAGUUUCGUAGGUGGCUUGAAUCUGGCGUCGAAGGUGGCUUGACCUUUUGACAUUGAAAUCAAACUUGUUCAGAGAUUUCAGCUAUCAUUAUCACAAAAAGAUCUUUUUAUCAAUUUCUGGAGUGAGUGAGUGAGUUUAGUUUUAC